GGGCCUCUAGCUCAAUCUGGUUAGAGCAUCCGACUCUUAAUUUUAAAAAAAGAAAUCGGAAGGUUGCGAGUUCGAAUCUCGUGGGGCCCGCCA
rnacentral:tRNA from 1 species